GACGAACCGUGCGAACGUUAUUCGGAAUCACUGGGCUUAAAGCGCGUGUAGGCGGCAAUUCAAGUCAUCUGUGAAAUCUCCGGGCUUAACUCGGAAAGGUCAACUGAUACUGUGCGACUAGAGUGCAGAAGGGGCAACUGGAAUUCUCGGUGUAGCGGUGAAAUGCGUAGAUAUCGGGAGGAACACCGGUGGCGAAGGCGGCGACCUGGGUCGAGACUGACGCUGAGGCGCGAAAGCGUGGGGAGCAAACAGG
rnacentral:rRNA from 1 species